AAUGCCUGGACCCGGGCGCCUGGGUGGCGCAGUCGGUUAAGCGUCCGACUUCAGCCAGGUCACGAUCUCGCGGUCCGUCAGUUCGAGCCCCGCGUCGGGCUCUGGGCUGAUGGCUCGGAGCCUGGAGCCUGUUUCCGAUUCUGUGUCUCCCUCUCUCUCUGCCCCUCCCCCGUUCAUGCUCUGUCUCUCUCUGUCCCAAAAAUAAAUAAACGUUGAAAAAAAAAAUUAAAAAAAAAAAAUGCCUGGACCCUUGAAGGGGCAUCUAAAGGAACUGCCAAGAGGUCAAAGGCUCGGGACGAGGAGCGGAGAAAACCAGAACCUCUGCCCAUCUUGGACCUACACAAUGCUGAGAGAAGAGAGGCAGCCAGCGAAGGGACCGCCGUCGGGAACCUGGUGAUGUGGCCUUGCCCUGUUCUCAUCCUCCCACCACACGUCCCCGGUCAAGCCCCCCGCCCCCAAGAGCCCUCAGCCCCGGGAAGACCACCCAGAAUGAGCUCCGCACAGGAGACCGUGCCUGCCUUGGCGCCCAGAGGACCCAGAGUUGCUGAGCCCCCGGCCCCAACCUGGCACGCUCGAGGCGGCUUUAAGAGGUUCACAACUCCCCGAGUGCAGUGUCCAUAAGGCGGCCUCCCGGCUCGGUGGAGGGCUCAGGGCUUGGAUGACAGCGUCGACUAGAUUUCAACCACCACCGUCCCCUUGGAAAGAUGCCAUUGGGCAGGACACAACCUGCAUGACUGUACACGGCAGGGCUCAUGGAGGCACACAGGCCAAGAUCAGCUCUGGGGAGAAUGUGGGAGUUGCAGGGACUUGGGGGGCAGGGAGAGGCCGGGGGCAUCUCGGGAAGGCCUUGGAGACAUGCGGUCUGGUUCACCACAGUGGUCACAUGCGCCUGGCAAGGCUGCAGAUCGACAGACACCCCUGCACCCGGGGGUGGGGUCCACACCCUCAUACCCAUGGGGCCACCACAGCUCAGGAGCCUGUGGUCUUCACCUUGAGCUGGGACUGGACACUGUGUUGGAGACCGAAGACAGGAGAGAGCCCUGCCUUCUACUGAAAGGGGAAAUGUGCAACCACACAGAACAGGCAUGGGGACGAUCACGUUCCUCCCAAAGCCAACGACAGAGCCACCCUAGAAGCCAGCAACCCCACUCCUCGGCGUCCACCUGAAGGAACUGAAAACAAGCGUUCCAACAAAACCCUGCACAUCCACACUCGUGGCACGUUACUCACAACUGCCAAAAGAUGGAAACCACCCAGCGUUCAUCAACGGAGGCACGGGUGACCCAGACGUAGCGUCCCUGCAAUGGAAUGCGAGUCCUCCGUAAAAACGAUGAACCUUGAGGACAUUAUGCUGAGUGAGAGACAAGAACAAAGUCACAAGAGGAUAAGUACUGUGUGAUGCAGCUUCCAUGAGAUGUUCUUAACGGAAAUCCGUACAGCUAGACAGAGGCUGGCCAUGCAACGUUGUGAGUGCAUGAAAUGCCACCGACUUGUGUGCACUUCAAAACGGCUAAUUUUAUGUUGCGCAUCUCAAUUAAAAAAAUGAUCAAGAAAGCAAAUGAGCAACGACCACAGCGGUCUACAGUGCUUCUUACAGACCAGGGCAGGGGCGGUUUUCUAACUAUUCACCAACAGCACUGGAAGAGCGCUGGCCAAGCCAGUCCUUCCCUGACGGCUUGUGGGGAAUC